GAUGAACGCUGGCGGCGUGCCUAAUACAUGCAAGUCGAGCGAAUGGAUUAAGAGCUUGCUCUUAUGAAGUUAGCGGCGGACGGGUGAGUAACACGUGGGUAACCUGCCCAUAAGACUGGGAUAACUCCGGGAAACCGGGGCUAAUACCGGAUAACAUUUUGAACCGCAUGGUUCGAAAUUGAAAGGCGGCUUCGGCUGUCACUUAUGGAUGGACACGCGUCGCAUUAGCUAGUUGGUGAGGUAACGGCUCACCAAGGCAACGAUGCGUAGCCGGCCUGAGAGGGUGAUCGGCCACACUGGGACUGAGACACGGCCCAGACUCCUACGGGAGGCAGCAGUAGGGAAUCGUCCGCAAUGGACGAAAGUCUGACGGAGCAACGCCGCGUGAGUGAGGAAGGCUUUCGGGUCGUAAAACUCUGUUGUUAGGGAAGAACAAGUGCUAGUUGAAUAAGCUGACACCUUGACGGUACCUAACCAGAAAGCCACGGCUAACUACGUGCCAGCCGCCGCAGUAA
rnacentral:rRNA from 1 species